UCGCGGCCUAUCAGCUUGUUGGUGAGGUAAUGGCUCACCAAGGCGUCGACGGGUAGCCGGCCUGAGAGGGUGACCGGCCACACUGGGACUGAGACACGGCCCAGACUCCUACGGGAGGCAGCGGUGGGGAAUAUUGCACAAUGGGCGCAAGCCUGAUGCAGCAACGCCGCGUGAGGGAUGACGGCCUUCGGGUUGUAAACCUCUUUUAGUAGGGAAGAAGCGAAAGUGACGGUACCUGCAGAAAAAGCGCCGGCUAACUACGUGCCAGCAGCCGCGGUAAUACGUAGGGCGCAAGCGUUAUCCGGAAUUAUUGGGCGUAAAGAGCUCGUAGGCGGUUUGUCGCGUCUGCUGUGAAAUCUGGGGGCUCAACCCCCAGCCUGCAGUGGGUACGGGCAGACUAGAGUGCGGUAGGGGAGACUGGAAUUCCUGGUGUAGCGGUGGAAUGCGCAGAUAUCAGGAGGAACACCGAUGGCGAAGGCAGAUCUCUGGGCCGUAACUGACGCUGAGGAGCGAAAGGGUGGGGAGCAAACAGGCUUAGAUACCCUGGUAGUCCACCCCGUAAACGUUGGGAACUAGUUGUGGGGUCCAUUCCACGGAUUCCGUGACGCAGCUAACGCAUUAAGUUCCCCGCCUGGGGAGUACGGCCGCAAGGCUAAAACUCAAAGGAAUUGACGGGGACCCGCACAAGCGGCGGAGCAUGCGGAUUAAUUCGAUGCAACGCGAAGAACCUUACCAAGGCUUGACAUAUACGAGAACGGGCCAGAAAUGGUCAACUCUUUGGACACUCGUAAACAGGUGGUGCAUGGUUGUCGUCAGCUCGUGUCGUGAGAUGUUGGGUUAAGUCCCGCAACGAGCGCAACCCUCGUUCUAUGUUGCCAGCACGUAAUGGUGGGAACUCAUGGGAUACUGCCGGGGCAACUCGGAGGAAGGUGGGGAUGACGUCAAAUCAUCAUGCCCCUUAUGUCUUGGGCUUCACGCAUGCUACAAUGGCCGGUACAAAGGGCUGCAAUACCGCGAGGUGGAGCGAAUCCCAAAAAGCCGGUCCCAGUUCGGAUUGAGGUCUGCAACUCGACCUCAUGAAGUCGGAGUCGCUAGUAAUCGCAGAUCAGCAACGCUGCGGUGAAUACGUUCCCGGGUCUUGUACACACCGCCCGUCAAGUCAUGAAAGUCGGUAACACCUGAAGCCGGUGGCCUAACCCUUGUGGAGGGAGCCGUCGAAGGUGGGGCUGGA
rnacentral:rRNA from 1 species